rnacentral:rRNA from 1 species
AUUGAACGCUGGCGGCAGGCCUAACACAUGCAAGUCGAACGAGUGGCGGACGGGUGAGUAAUUUCUGGGAAACUGCCCGAUGGAGGGGGAUAACUACUGGAAACGGUAGCUAAUACCGCAUACCAUCGGAUGUGCCCAGAUGGGAUUAGCGAGUGGGUGGGGUAACGGCUCACCUAGGCGACGAUCCCUAGCUGGUCUGAGAGGAUGACCAGCCACACUGGAACUGAGACACGGCCCAGACUCCUACGGGAGGCAGCAGGGGGGAAUAUUGCGCAAUGGACGAAAGCCUGAUGCAGCCAUGCCGCGUGUAUGAAGAAGGCCUUCGGGUUGUAAAGUACUUUCAGCGAGGAGGCGUUACUCGAAGAAGAAGCAACGGCUAACUCCGUGCCAGCAGCCGCGGUAAUUC